rnacentral:rRNA from 1 species
GUCUUGUACACACCGCCCGUCACACCAUGAGAGCCGGUAACACCGGAAGCCCGUGAGGUAACCGUAAGGAGCCAGCGGUCGAAGGCGGGAUUGGUGAUUGGGGUGAAGUCGUAACAAGGUAGCCGUAGGAGAACCUGCGGCUGGAUCACCUCCUUUCUAGGGAGAAUGGAA